AAUCGCUGUGUAAUAUGACUCAUAACUCUCUGAUUGGUGGAUUACCAAUCAGAGAGUUAUGAGUCAUAUUACACAGCGUGGGAA